CCCGCACAAGCAGCGAGCGUGUGGUUUAAUUCGAUGCUACACGAAGAACCUUACCCGGGUUUGACAUGCAAGUGGUAGUGAUCCGAAAGGUGAACGACCCCGCAAGGGAGCUUGCACAGGUGUUGCAUGGCUGUCAUCAGCUCGUGUCGUGAGAUGUUCGGUUAAGUCCGCUAACGAGCGCAACCCUCGCUGUAUGUUACAUGUGUCAUACAGGACCGCCGGUAUCAAGCCGGAGGAAGGUGGGGAUGACGUCAAGUCCGCAUGGCCUUUAUGUCCGGGGCUACACACACGCUACAAUGGUCGGUACAAUGGGUUGCUAAGCCGCGAGGUGGAGCCAAUCCCCCAAAGCCGGCCUCAGUUCAGAUUGCAGGCUGCAACUCGCCUGCAUGAAGCUGGAGUUGCUAGUAAACGCGCGUCAGCUAUAGUGCGUUGAAUACGUUCUCGGGCCUU
rnacentral:rRNA from 1 species